rnacentral:lncRNA from 1 species
AUUUUAGUACUUAUGUUAGAACCGUGGGAAGGUUGCUAAGGAAGCCCAAGGCUGCAGGGUCUGCACCACACUGGGCAGUCUGCACUCAGGUAAAAUCUGGUCAAUGGAGAGUUUCUAAAGAGGUGAGAUGUAAAGGAAAAAUUGUUGCCACAAAGUCAUUUUCCAGCCUGUUCAGAAAAUAUAAAGCAAAACAUAGUGAUUCGUUGCAAGACAAGGAGAGAUGGCAUCUACCUUUCAUCAUCACCUACAGCAAAUCUAAUUCAGUCCAUGAUAUUUCAAAAGAAUUUCUCACUGAAGUAUUUGAAAUACAUUACAUAACUAGGAGUGAGGAAGGGCCAUGAGUACUAACAGUACAAUGAGGUCAACAUCUUUCACUUCCUUUUAAUAAAAUACUAUAUUUUGCUUGUUAUGUGGAGUUU